ensembl:lncRNA
CAGGCGUCCGGGGCGGGACCCAUGCGGCGUCUCUGCGCCAUCUUGCGUCAGAGCGAUUGUCGCGUGUGAGGGCGAGCGGGAGGCCCUUCCGGUCCGCAGCGCGGGAGCUCCUUGGCCAACACGGAAGAUUAGCCCUGAGCUAACAUCUACUGCCAAUCCUCCUCUUUUUGCUGAGGAAGACUGGCCCUGAGCUAACAUCCCUGCCCAUCUUCCUCUACUUUAUAUGUGGGACGCCUGCCACAGCAUGGCUUGACAAGCGGUGCCAUGUCCGCACCCGGGAUCUGAACCUGCGAACCCCCAGCCACCAAAGCGAACGUGCCAACUUAACUGCUGCAGGACCAGGCCAGCCCCAAUAGCAGUUUUUUAAAUUUGCAUUUUCCUUAGGAAGAGGACUGUAGUUGUAUGAAUUCUCGAAGGUCUCUGAGCCUCCCCCGUAUACGGUCAGAGAACACUCGAGCCCGACAGAAGUUAAAGCGGAAAAGUGUAUGCAGGUUUUUCUAUUUCUAAGCUGAAUGUGAUCUCCUUCAAGGAGCAAGGAAAGGAAGCCUGGGUAGUAGAGAGUGAUGUCACACAAAGCCUGCACCCAGAUUGGGUAUCCCAAUGGGAGAAAAUGGAAAAAUUUAUAAACAAAGAUCCUGAGGACCCCAGCUUCCAAGAUGACUGGAAAUGUAAAGGCACAUUCAAGAGACAACAAAGAAAUAGGAAGGAAAUUCCAGUCAAGUCAUACUCACCCGUGAAGAAAUACCCACUUGGAGACAGCAAACAUCCCAUAACGUGCUUCAGAAAGUUCUAUCUGGAAGUAGGCCCUAUGUGUGUAUUGAAUUUACAAAAGGUUUUUGGCAGAAGAAAUCUCUUAAUCAUCAGAAAACUCAUACUAGUGAGGAAUAUUACAAAUGCAAGCAAUGUGGGAAGGACAUUCUGAUCUUCCUCAACAUCAAGGGAUUCAUACUGGGGAAAGACCCUGUGAAUGUAAAGAAUGUGGAAAGGGCUUUAGUUCUGUAUCACUCUUUACCCAACAACAGAGAAGUCAUGCUGGUGAGAAACUCUGUAAAUGUAGGGUUGUGGAAAAACCUUUAUUUGGCUCUCACAACUUAAUAUACAUCAUAGAACUCACAUUGGUGAAAAGACUUAUCAAUGUAUUGAAUGUAGAAAAGCUUUUAAAGGUCACUUAUCACUAAUUACUCAACAUCAAAGAAUUCAUGCUGGAGAAAAACCCUAUGAUGUAAGGAAUAUGGAAGGGCCUUUAGAGGUAUCACACGACUUAAGGAACAUUGAAGAAUCCAUACCAGUGAGAAGCCAUAUAAACGCAAUGAACAUGGAAAGGCCUUCAGUUGUCAUUCACAUCUUCCUCAACAUCAAAGAAAUCUUAUAAAUCUAAGGUUUGUGGGAAGGCCUUUAGACAGGGCUCACAGCUUAACCAUCAGCAGAGAAUUCAUACUGGUGAGAAACCACAUAAAUGUGAUGAACGUGGAAAAGACUUUGGUUGGAUUUCGCAAUUUAAUGUACAUAUUAGCAACCACAUUAGUGAGAACCUGUGUCAGUGUACUGAAUGUGGAAAAGCCUUUAGUCACUUAACAUUAGCUAUGCAACAUCAGAGAAUUCAUACUGGUGAGAAAUCCAAUGAAUGUAAGGCAUGUGGGAAAGCCUUUAUGAUUAUCUCAUACCUUAUCCAGCAUCAAAGAAUUCACACUGUUGAGAAAUCCUAUAAAUGCAGUGAAUGUGGAAAGGCCUUCAAUCAUCGUUCAUAUCUUCCUAAAUGUCAGAGAAUCCAUACUG